rnacentral:rRNA from 1 species
GUGGGGAAUAUUGGACAAUGGGCGAAAGCCUGAUCCAGCCAUGCCGCGUGUGUGAAGAAGGUCUUCGGAUUGUAAAGCACUUUAAGUUGGGAGGAAGGGCAGUAAGUUAAUACCUUGCUGUUUUGACGUUACCGACAGAAUAAGCACCGGCUAACUUCGUGCCAGCAGCCGCGGUAAUACGAAGGGUGCAAGCGUUAAUCGGAAUUACUGGGCGUAAAGCGCGCGUAGGUGGUUUUGUAAGUUGGGGGUGAAAUCCCCGGGCUCAACCUGGGAACUGCCUCCAAAACUGCAUGACUAGAGUACGGUAGAGGGUAGUGGAAUUUCCUGUGUAGCGGUGAAAUGCGUAGAUAUAGGAAGGAACACCAGUGGCGAAGGCGACUACCUGGACUGAUACUGACACUGAGGUGCGAAAGCGUGGGGAGCAAACAGGAUUAGAUACCCCUGUAGUCC